ensembl:miRNA Mir299a microRNA 299a
AAGAAAUGGUUUACUGUCCCACAUACAUUUUUGAGUGUGUACGUGGGACGAUAAACAGCUUCUU